GUGAGUCAUCGAGUCUUUGAACGCACCUUGCACCAUGUGAGCAAUUGCAUGGUAUACCUGUUUGAGAAUCGUAAAAACCUCUUUCCCACCGCAAGGUGGGAGAUUUGUCGGUUGUGCCCCUCACGGUGGUACUCUGAUCAAAAGCAGUAGGUCCGGAUCAGGCUAGUGGCCUGGGACAUUGUGUGCUAGAGACGUUGGCCUUGUGCCUGCAGUCUUCUCACAGUGCGUCCUAGGCCAUCAAGCUAACCUGGUCAAUCGGGUCUGUACAGUGAGUGAGCCUAGGCCUAACGGCUUGGUGCUCAUAACCAACCCCACACUUUUGAUCUCAAAUCAGGUAAGGCUACCCGCUGAACUUAAGCAUAUCAAUAAGCGGAGG
rnacentral:rRNA from 1 species